UACGAAGGGGGCUAGCGUUGCUCGGAAUCACUGGGCGUAAAGCGUCUGUAGGUGGUCAAAUAAGUCAACUGUUAAAUCUUGAGGCUCAACCUCAAAAUCGCAGUCGAAACUAUUCGACUAGAGUAUAGUAGGGGUAAAGGGAAUUUCCAGUGGAGCGGUGAAAUGCGUAGAGAUUGGAAAGAACACCGAUGGCGAAGGCACUUUACUGGGCUAUUACUAACACUGAGAGACGAAAGCUAGGGUAGCAAAUGGG
rnacentral:rRNA from 1 species